CCCGACUGCUAUCGGAUUGAGAUUUAGCCACGCGAGUCGAACGUCCCCCUGUUGCGGGGGGCGUGGCGUACGGCUCAGUAACACGGCAUUCAACCUGUCCCUGAGAGACACGGACAACCCCGGGAAACUGGGACUAAUCCGUGUAUAGGUCACCUCAUCUGGAAGGAGAGAUGGCCCAAAGGGGCGCGCGGGCUUCUUCUGCGCGUUCGCUCCAGGAUGGGACUGCGACCGAUCAGGCUGUUGGCGGGGUAAAGGCCCACCAAACCUGUAACCGGUACGGGCCUUGAGAGAGGUGGCCCGGAGAUGGACACUGAGAAAAGGGUCCAUGUCCUACGGGGCGCAGCAGGCGCGAAAUCUUCGCAAUGCGCGAAAGCGUGACGAGGUUAAUCCGAGUGAUUUCCGCUGAGGAGACCUUUUGUCGGCUGUAAAUAGGCCGGCGAAUCAGGGGAGGGCAAGCCUGGUGU
rnacentral:rRNA from 1 species